GCAGCUUAGCGGACUUGGUGGAGUUGAUGGUGGAGACGCCCGAUGUGCUGCCUUCCUCCACGGCGUCAUGCGGCCGAUCCAGAACCCCGGCCACGGCAUCCACAGGCCCCAGCAGCUCCUCGUGCUCUGGAGGUCAUGGAAACAAAGGUGUUUUAAUGGCUCCUUGACCUACCUGGGGAGAGCACAGUGAUGGCACAGUGUACAGCGCUGCGCAGCAAGUCAUCCAGUGCAAACAUCCAGUGGGGCUUGAUGCUGUGGCUCUUUAGGACCUCAUUCACCUGUUACAACAUUGUGGAUCAGUCUCAGCCAGCGAGGCCUUUGUUCAUACCUGAGUGAGAAGGAGCUUGUCCUUGUCCGUGCCGAGCUCCUGCUGCAGCCGCUGGUACCAGACUUGGGUGAUCUUGUUCUGGUCAUGCAUCAACACCUUCGUCAGCGUCAUCCUGC